rnacentral:rRNA from 1 species
GGGGAAUCUUAGACAAUGGGCGCAAGCCUGAUCUAGCCAUGCCGCGUGAGUGAUGAAGGUCCUAGGAUCGUAAAGCUCUUUCGCUGGGGAAGAUAAUGACUGUACCCAGUAAAGAAGUCCCGGCUAACUCCGUGCCAGCAGCCGCGGUAAUACGGAGGGGACUAGCGUUGUUCGGAAUUACUGGGCGUAAAGCGUGCGUAGGCGGAUCAGCAAGUUGGGGGUGAAAUCCCGGGGCUCAACCCCGGAACUGCCUCCAAAACUGUUGGUCUAGAGUUCGAGAGAGGUGAGUGGAAUUCCGAGUGUAGAGGUGAAAUUCGUAGAUAUUCGGAGGAACAUCAGUGGCGAAGGCGGCUCACUGGCUCGAUACUGACGCUGAGGUACGAAAGUGUGGGGAGCAAAC